rnacentral:rRNA from 1 species
UACGAAGGGUGCAAGCGUUACUCGGAAUUACUGGGCGUAAAGCGUGCGUAGGUGGUUUGUUAAGUCUGAUGUGAAAGCCCUGGGCUCAACCUGGGAAUUGCAUUGGAUACUGGCAGGCUAGAGUGCGGUAGAGGAUGGCGGAAUUCCCGGUGUAGCAGUGAAAUGCGUAGAGAUCGGGAGGAACAUCUGUGGCGAAGGCGGCCAUCUGGACCAGCACUGACGCUGAGAAGCGAAAGCAUGGGGAGCGAACAGG